CCGCUUCCGCCCCGCGCUACCUUUCUUCUCUGAGCUGCGGACAGCUCGCUUGGGCCCCGACCAACGUCUGUCAGCUGCCAAGUAAAGGAGGUAAAGAAGCCUGUCCACACAAAAGACUUAUUAGCCAGUAAAGGGAUGCUGUCUGGAGCAGAGAUGAGGUCAGGAAAGCCAAGACAAAGUAUGUUGAACAGAAAAGGAAAGAAAAUGCACACAUCACACUCCCCAUGCUCUCCUGAUAAGGAAGACAAGAAAACUAGAGGCAACUGUCAUGGAGAAGGCUGAGAUACUCUGCAAUUUUUUCAUCUCAGUUUUCCAUGAUGCUGGAAAUGCCUCUCUGCAUGUGUGCUGAGUUCUUGCUGCUGUGGACUGUGCAGCCCUAAUUGCUGCAGGUUCCUGUUCUCACUGGGGAAUUGGAAAUAAUGAUUGUUUGGGCCACAGAGAUGUUUUCUGAAACCUUUCCCAUUUUUCUGCCUUUUAAUGGUAGAUCUUCUCUUUCUGCCUUUGAAUUUUACAGCGAUUUUAUGAUGUCAUUCACCCAAAUUCCUUGCAGCUCCUGGGGCAGAGAGAAGCUUCUCCUGUGGCCGAUAUUCAGUGGAAUAAUGAUACUGUGUGUCCCACAUCUUUAAUAUAUUUAACUGCUGUUUAUAUCUUCGAGUGUAGACUUAGUUGAUUCUUUUUCAACAGAAAGUGGCAGGCUGAGCUCAGCCAAGUUACUGAACCAUAAUUUAGAUAGUUGAGUUUUUUUUAAAGAAGAAAAAAGCCAGCUUUUUUUCUGUGGGCUUUACUGGUAUUGUUCCUUAUUUGAGCUACACCUUAAAGUAAUGAUGUGGGUGCCUUCUAGAAACAGUGUUCAAUUAUUUUGCACUCUCUCAUGAGACCUUCAGGCCCACAUUUUUCCAUUGCUGAAUUAAAUACAGGUCCAAGCUGACAGUGUCCUCUGCAUCUUUUGUUCAUUGAUCUGUUUCUGAUGUUCAUUUCAUCUGGAUGCAGAGUUGGGCUUUUUGAGCAGAUAAUGCCCCCAAACCAUGAGGCUUGUUUAAACCUUGUACUCUAUUUUAUGAAGGCAUGGGGUCGGUGAGGACUUUGUCUUGUUGCUGUACUAGGGAAUGGCAUUCAGGAGGUUCCUACAAUAUUCACAUUGAAGUUGAAAUGUUCAAGGGUAUCGGUGUGAUGGUUCUUGGGGAUGAAUCUUGCUCCCAGCAGUCUGUAGCGUAGUAGCGCAGGACAUGAAAAAGCAGGGUGUGACGCACAGGGCAGGUAGGAACAGCGAGGUGCUUCAUGCUGGCAGCUGUGUUUGGUGUUGCUGAUGUUUUCAGAGCCAGAGCAGAUUCAUUUGGUUUUGGUGGACUGAAACAGAAUCCAAACCUUAGAAAGUAUUUAUUUGUCCUUAGGCUGAAAAAUAUUGUUGUGCAGGACUUGUUCCCUUGCACCUCCGGUUCAUUGCAGAAAAGAUUUUUUUUGUGAGCAAAUGUUGUCAUGGCUGGUGCAGUGAAAAGCUGAAGAGUUCCUGGUAAUAAGAUCAUCUUGGUGGGAGCGUGAGUGCCAGCCAAAACCUCUCUGUGUUCCAGUGCCAUGCCGCUGCGGGAGGAGAGCGUGAGGUGCAAAGCCCAGAGUGGAGCAGUGGGAAAUGGGAGGUGAGGAAGGGUUGAGCUAAGGAUGGAUUUAAACUGGGCUGGGUGUUAGUGCAGGAAGAGAUCUUUGUCAUCCAGACUGCCAAAAUGAAGACCUGUAAAAUCCUAGCUCUGCCUUGUGUAUAAUGUGAUUCUACUUCAUAUUUAUGUCAUCACAAAAAGCAAGGAAACAAUAAAUGUCACUGUUUCUGACUAUUGCUGUGUGAAGGUUUUUUAAAAGCUGAUGAAUUUAUGUUCUCUUUUUGUACUCCAAGCUUGGCGUUUCCCCUCUUUUUUCAAUGUCUGCUGCAUUGAGUGUCCCAAGGAGGGCUGGAUUCUUCAGCAGGGGUCUUAGGAGUUGGUGCUAUUUCAGCUUUUUCUGAAGCUUGUGAAGAUGACUCUGAAGACCAAUGUUGGUAGAACUUUCAUAUUGCAAGAAACAAACAGAAUUACUGCAGAAAUGCUGAACUGGCAAGAACAACAUCAACACGCAUUUGUUUUAUACCUCUCCUUAGUAAAGUGUGCAUUGAAUAUUACUGUAGUUUUUGAAGCAUUGUUGAAUUCAAAAUCAACUGCUGCACAGUGGAGCUCAGUAGACUUGAGAACUACUCAGCAUGUGUGUGGAUUAGAUACAUAGAAAGCAACUUCCCUUUUUAAAUUAUGAGGAUGUUGUGCUUUGUUUUGGAAGACAUCGGAUUCUGAAUAUUUAAGGAAGCUCUAUCUCCCUUUGUGUUUUCUUCUUACUGUAGUCAGACUUCUGGCUUUG